CCCGAUGAACGCUGACGGCGUGGAUAAGGCAUGCAAGUCAAACGGCUCUUCAAGAUAAGCUUGCUUAUUUUGAAGAGCAGUGGCAAACGGGUUAGUAACACGUGGGUAAUCAACCCUAUUCACGGGCAUAACUGGUCGAAAGGCCGGAUAAUUCCCGAUGGUCCCGGUAUUUCAUAUGAAACUCCGGGUAAAGGGUAUACGUAAGUAUACCGGAAUGGGAUGAGCCCGCGGUCUAUCAGCUAGUUGGUAAGGUAAUGGCUUACCAAGGCUAUGACGGAUAGGCGGGGUUAGCGCCUGAUCGCCAACAAGGGCACUGAGACACGGGCCCUACUCCUACGGGAGGCUGCAGUCGAGAAUAUUGGACAAUGGGGGAAACCCUGAUCCUGCGACGCCGCGUGAUUGAAGAAGCCCUUCGGGGUGUAAAAAUCUUUUCUAGGGGAAGAACCCUUCGGGGUGACGGUACCUUAGGAAUAAGAGGGUGCUAAUUCUGUGCCAGCAGCAGCGGUAAUACAGAACCCUCAAGCGUUAUCCGGAUUUAUUGGGCGUAAAGAGUUCGUAGGCGGUCUGGAAAGUCUUUGGUUAAAUACUCAGGGCUUAACCUUGAGACAACUAAAGAUACUACCAAACUAGAGGACGUUAGGGGUUGACGGAACGGUCAGUGUAGGGGUAAAAUCCGUUGAUAUUGACCGGAACACCGAAAGCGAAGGCAGUCAACUGGGACGAUCCUGACGCUGAGGAACGAAAGCGUGGGGAGAGAACGAGAUUAGAUACCUCGGUAUUCCACGCUGUAAACGAUGGAUACUAGCUAUUUGAAGUGUCGACCCUUCAAGUGGCGAAGCUAACGCGUUAAGUAUCCCGCCUGGGAAGUACGGCCGCAAGGCUAAAACUCAAAGGAAUAGACGGGGGCUCACACAAGCGGUGGAUCAUGUGGCUUAAUUCGAUGAUAAGCGAGAAACCUUACCAGGGCUUGACAUUCAUUUGUAAUCCUUCUGAAAAGAAGGACCUCCUUCACGGGACAAAUGGACAGGUGCUGCAUGGUUGUCGUCAGCAUGUGCCGUGAGGUGCACGCUUAAAUGCGGUAACAUGCGCAACCCUCACUCUAUGUUUCAAGUGUCAUAGAGGACUGCCCGAGACAAUUGGGAGGAAGGCGAGGAUGACGCCAAAUCAGCAUGGCCCUUUGACGCCCUGGGCUGCACACAUGAUACAAUGGUUGGGACAAUGGGUUGCGAUCCCGUAAGGGGGAGCUAAUCCCACCAAACCCGAUCUCAGUUCGGAUUGAGGUCUGCAACUCGACCUCAUGAAGUUGGAAUCGCUAGUAAUCGCUAAUCAUCACGUAGCGAUGAUACGUUCCUGAGCGUUGCACACACCG
rnacentral:rRNA from 1 species